rnacentral:lncRNA from 1 species
CAGGCUUCCCCGUCCCUGGGAUUCUCCAGGCAAGAACACUGGAGUGGGUUGCCAUUGCCUUCUCCGACACAAGUUAGAUCAGUAUAAUCUUAAAAAUUAAAAUCAAAAAAGGUGGUGAAAUGGGAGAACUAUUGUCUAAAAAUAAUCAAAUACUCUGAUCUUUCUACAGGAAUCAAGAAAGAAAUUAAAGAUUUGAUUGAAACUGGUCCUUGGUUAGUGAAGUUGUAUUUGGCAGAUAAUGGCAUAGAUGGAAAGGGAAAAGAAGGAGAAAAUGACUUGUUGGAAUUCACUCAAAUACUAACAUGCCUGAUCAAAUACUCUGCCCACUUAGAAGAGAUUGACCUUGGAAACAAUGCCCUGGGAGAAAAGGCUGCUGUUGACCUACUUGAAGCACUGAGAGCCAGAAAGACAGGUAAACUGCCAGUUUUAAAAAUUACAGUCACUCCCCAGAUCUCUUCAGACACCUUCAGAUCUAUUUGGAAAAACAGCAAGAAAUCUAGUAUUACCCAUAAAAAGAAGAAAAAGGUAUGCUUUUGGCUAUCUAUGCGAGUAGCAGCCACCAGGGGGCACUGUAUGGAGCCUGGGUUCUCUGUUGGGGUAGAUGGUGCGGUGAGCAGCGCAUGGGCUUCCUGAGAGCAUGAGCAUUUGAGUUCGAAGCCACACUCCCCUAAGCCAUCAUUGCACCCUGAUGGAUGAUAACUGUAGGACAAGAAGGAGGAGAACAGCACAGUUCUCUCACAGAUUAGUGCAAACUCUGCCUUCUCUCUUUGAACUUUCCCCACCAACCCCAACACACAUACACACACACACACACACACACACACACACACACAUUCUGGUUCCCGUCAGCCUGCUGUGGGUCUGAAGCGGUGAAUUUAUCUAAAUUCUUUAUGAAGCUGUGCUGUGUUGCCUCUUUUUGUUGUUCAGUCAGUAAGUUGUGUCUGACUCUGUGACCCCAUGGGCUACAGCACGCCAGGCUUCCCUGUCCUUCACCAUCUCCCAGAGUUUGCUCAGACUCAUGCCCAUUGAGACGAUGACGUCAUCCAACUAUUUCAUCCUUUGAGACCCCCUCUCCCUCUGCCUUCAAUCUUUCCCAACAUCAGGGUCUUUUCCAGUGAGUUGGCUCUUCUCCUCAGAUGGCCAAAAUAAAUAUUGGGGCUUCAGCUUCAACAUCAGUCCUUCCAACAAAUAUUCAGGGUUAUUUCCUUUAGGAUUGAUUGGUUUGAUCACCUUGCUGUCCAAAGGACUCUCAAGAGUCUUCUCUAGCACCACAGUUCAAAAGCACCAAUUCUUCAGUCUUCAGCAUUCUGCCUCUUAGGGCGGAUAAUGAUUUACAUAUGCUUCCUCUCUACUGUAUGAAGUUGAACUUCCUUUUUCUUUUUUUCUAAUUAUGAUUUCCUGUUCAUUUCUUCACAGGCUAAAAACUGAAUACGAAUGCCAUGUAUCCAUAUGGAUUCUAUCUAUUUCCAUGGACAACGAGAUGUGCCUGGAAAAAUAUUGCUUGUAACCAAGUAUCACUGUAACCAAGCCCUUUUCAAGUUCUAAAAUUUGAUAAGACUCUUUUAUGAAAGUUCAGAAUAGCGUUAGUCUUAUCAUGCUUAUCAUUUUCUAAAAUGUGGGUUUCACAAAGAGGUCUUAGUAAAAACAAGUGGAAUUCUUCUCUGGGGCUCUUGUGCAUGUGAAGCUUAUAACUUGAAGGAAGUCAUGAUCUUUAUCCAGAAAAGAAAAAAAUCUUCUUUCAUAAAUAUAUCUAUGGUUGGGAACAACAGGAAUUUGGGAAAUAAUAACCACUUUCUGAAAGACAACAUCUCUAACAACAGGGAUCUUACCCCAAAUGAGGAAACCUCCGCUUACUGCAACCUGUACCUGCAUUAGAGUUUCAGACAGCUCCAUGGGAAAUGGAAGAGGUGUCAUGGAUCGAUAUAUUGAUGAUAAAUUGGGUUUGUUAAACUGUACAUGUUGCAGGGAUAAAAAGCAUAGAUUGGGCAAUUAAAAUGAAACCAAAAUUCUCUGUGGAAACCUGCUGCUUUUCAGGUGACCUUGGGCAGGUCGGUUACCCUCACUGUGCCUCAGUUUCUCCUUACAUAAGACACAGAUAAGAAGAGCACAUAUUCAUUUGGUGAGCACUGAAUGAGGGUGACACAUGUCAAGUAUUUUAAGAUAAUACCUGUUUCAUUGUAUGUUUUCAAAAAUUAAUAUUAAUGACUGGUAUUAUUGCUGUUAGAAUUGAGUGAUUCCAGUUAUUUCACUUACAACAGCUACACAAAGAAAUAGGAAAAAAAAAAAAAGGCUUAAGAUCUCUUCAUUUAGCACUUAGAAACUGCCAUUGAUUCUAUGUAUAAUGUAACAAGUUCUGGUAUGUUCCAGGCAAAAAUCUAAUUGUGGAGGUGAGGAUGGUUAUGGUAAAUUAUGUCCUCUCUUGAGGAUCUUAGCACCUAGGAAGGAAGUCAAGAUCCUCAUACAUUAAAAGUAAACAUUAGGGCAUGAGUUGAAAUAGUCAGGGUAAGCAAGCCUAUGGAAUAGUGACAGCAACUUAACAAAUCUCCAGAACUUAUAUAUCCAAUGUGUAAGAUGUGUGAGGCUUCCUGAUAAAUUGUUUCUGCUAAAAAAAAGAAAAAUAGAACUUUUUAAAGAUUUGCCACUGACAUCCACUGGAUGGGAGUGUAAAAUCUGUGUGUUCAUUUAGGUGUAUUUUGACAAAAGAGUCGGACACGACUGAGUGACUGAACUGAACUGACCAUGUCUAUCAAAAUGAAAAACAAACAAACAAACAAAUCAUAGCCUUGACUCAGGCACGCAUACAUUUAGGGGUCUUUUGACAAUGUUUAUCAAAGUGAAAAAAAACAUAGCCUUGACUUAGGCAUGCAUACAUAUUUCCUUGCACGUGUCUGGGAGUAUAUCUAUCUAUAGAAAUAUGUAUAUAUAUAUAUAUAUGUAUAGAAAUAUGCAUAUAGAAAUAUCUAAGGAAAUAUGUAUUAAGAUGUUCACAGCAGCACUAUUAAUUAUACAUUGGAAACGACUAAAUGUCUCUCAACUGGUUCUCAGAGACAUAAAUCACAGGAAAUGUAUAUAGGGGAAUACUGUGCAGUCAUUAGGAAGAACAACGUGGAUAUGGAAGUGCUUAUGUGGAGAGAUGCGUUAGUCAUACUAUUAAACAAAAAGAGCAGCCUGGAGAAUAGUGAAUGUGAAAACUUCACAUUAAAAUGAACUGGCAUAAUAUGAGUUGGCAAUUUCAUCUCUGGGUUUACAUAUUCAAAAAAAUGGAAAGCAAGAUCACGAAGAGAUAAUUGUACACCUAUGUUCAUAAAGUGUUAGUCAUCAUAAUUAAAUGAUAGAAGCAACCCAUAUAUCCACUGAUGGAUGACUAGAUAAGCAAAAUGUGGUAAACACAUACAAUGGAAUAGUAUUCAGUUUUAAAAAGGAAGGAAAUUCUGACACACGCUACAGCAUGGAUGAACCUGGAGGACUUUAUGCUGUGUACCCCAGUUACAAAAAGACAAACACUGUAUAAUUCCAGUUAUGUGAAGUAUGUAGAUUACUCAAACUCAGAAACAGAAAGGAAAAUUGUGGGUGCCAGAGGGACAAGGGCGAAAUGCAGAGUUGUUUAAUGGGCAUGGAAUACAGUUUCAGUUUGGGAAGAUGAAAAAGUUCUAGAGAUUGGUUGAUAACAGUGUGAAUGUACUUAAUGCUUCUGAACUAUCCACACUUAAAAAUGGUUAGGAUGGGGGUUUCCCUGGUGGCUCACGGGGAAAAGAAUCCACCCACCAAUGAAAGAGCCAAUGGUUCGGUCCCUGAUCCAGGAAUAUCCCACAUGCCGUGGAGCCACUAAGCCCAUGCACCCCAACUACUGAAGCUAUGUUCUAGAGUCCAGGAGUCACGACUACUGAAGCCCUUGCGCCCGAGGGUCUGUGCUACACAGCAAGAGAAGCCCCUGCAAUGAGAAGCCCAUGCACUGCAACCAGAAUAGCCCCUGCCUGCAAUGAAGACCCAGCACAGCCAAAAAUAAAUAAAUAAAAUUUAAACCUUUAGGAUGGUAAACUCUAUGUUAUAUGUAUUUUUAAGUUUUUAAAUGAGUUGAUGUGUUACAUGUCUGCUAGUUUGUAUGUAGCAAUUUCUGAACAGUCUCUUAACAGUACUUGCUUUUUUCCCAUUGCAUACUCAAUUUACUAUUUUAAGGUUUUUAUCAUUUAGGAGCUGUCAAUUAAAAAAAAACAAC